AUAUGUUAAUAUAUUUUUGAAGGAGGGGGAACCACAUGAAAAAACAUGUCCAACAGAGUGAGCACCUCAUGGUUCAAAGUCACUGCACCUAGAAUGACAGAUCAAAGCAUCUCAAGUUCUGUUUCUUCGUUUUCACGGUCACCGUGCCAUCGCUGUGUUUCCGAAUCUACCACUUGAAUGCAGGAAUCUGUAGUACUGCCAGGACUGGAGACGCAAACUUCAGCCAAGCCAGUGAAGACCUGAGGCCUGUCAACAUCCAUAUGGGGAACAGAUCCUUCCCAGUUGAGCCUUGAGCUAACUGCAGCCACAGCUGACACCUUGAUCAUAGCCUUGUGAGAGACCUGAACCGGAACGACCCAGCUCAGCUGAUGGCUCCUGACCUGCAGCAACUGUAAGUUUCAUGGACCAGCACCUUCAGACCCACCCUGCAGCUCUGACUGAGGAAUUGGCAGGUUCUUCUGACACAG